AUUGAACGCUGGCGGCAGGCUUAACACAUGCAAGUCGAGCGGAGAGAGGUAGCUUGCUACCGAUCUUAGCGGCGGACGGGUGAGUAAUGCUUAGGAAUCUGCCUAUUAGUGGGGGACAACAUUUCGAAAGGAAUGCUAAUACCGCAUACGUCCUACGGGAGAAAGCAGGGGAUCUUCGGACCUUGCGCUAAUAGAUGAGCCUAAGUCGGAUUAGCUAGUUGGUGGGGUAAAGGCCUACCAAGGCGACGAUCUGUAGCGGGUCUGAGAGGAUGAUCCGCCACACUGGGACGGAGACACGGGCCAGACUCCUACGGGAGGCAGCAGUGGGGAAUAUUGGACAAUGGGCGCAAGCCUGAUCCAGCCAUGCCGCGUGUGUGAAGAAGGCCUUAUGGUUGUAAAGCACUUUAAGCGAGGAGGAGGCUACUUUAGUUAAUACCUAGAGAUAGUGGACGUUACUCGCAGAAUAAGCACCGGCUAACUCUGUGCCAGCCGCCGCCGUAACAC
rnacentral:rRNA from 1 species